AAACUCAAGGUUCCUGACUUACAAUGGUUAGAUGCAUUUUCAUUAGAACUUCCACCUUGACCCUGAUGUUUUCCUCAGCUGCAGUUCAGACUACAGACUACAGAAGGCUGGAGAUCACAGAUCCAGCUCUCUGAGAUAUGAAAGGCAGUGGUCAGCAAUGUGAAACAUAUGAUGAAUGUAAAAGUUCCAUGUGUGGGUUCUACUGAGUGUAUCCGCCAAGCUGCUGGUUGUGAGGAGGUAGAGAUGGUGACUCAGAAAUGCACCCCUGUGGCUUCCUGUUGUGAAAUGGUUCAUUCUGUUUGCAAAAAAUCACAAACUGGAGAUAAAAAGGAAGAUGUCUUCACUGUGAGGUCACAUUCCAACUAAAUUUUCAUCCAUCGAUUUCUUAUGCAUGGCUUUUGCCAGAAGAAAGACCGGCUUUGUGUGCAUUUGUAUUUUAAGGGCCAUGUGAUGGCAUGGCCAUCCCAAAGUUCUUUCCAAAGAAUUUGCUUCUUGCUCAAAUUCUGUGAAGUCUGAUAAUCAGAGAGUCACGAUGUCUGUAGAAUGCAAGUUACACUUUUUAACGCAUAAUUUUCCCAUGAGUUUUUCUCUCCAGCAUAAAGGGAUUUGCUAAAGGAUCUUUGUUUGACAACAGAGAGGAUUUCUGCAGUUUUGAAGAAAUUGGCAAUAACUGUCUAAACACGGGAAAGUCAUAGAAUAAAAGAACAACAGUGUACCUCCUGUGGGGCCA
rnacentral:lncRNA from 1 species